UUGACAGCCCUGGCAAAUGAGGCAUUUACCCACAGAACAGCUACAGCAAAGUCAGAGGCACUGAAAGCCUUCCAUACAUACAAUGACUUUCCAUUGAGCCUCAGACCUGCCCUAGCGGGACGUGUCUAAGGUCAGAGGGAGUUCAGGUUCCAUUGUCCUUUCUGUCUGUAGUCUUU
rnacentral:sRNA from 1 species